UACAUGGGGUGCAAACGUUGCUCGGAAUCAUUGGGCGUAAAGCGCGCGUAGGCGGUUGCUUAAGUCGGAUGUGAAAGCCCUCGGCUUAACUGAGGAAGUGCAUCCGAAACUGAGCAGCUAGAGUACGAAAGAGGGUCGCGGAAUUCCCGGUGUAGAGGCGAAAUUCGUAGAUAUCGGGAGGAACACCGGUGGCGAAGGCGGCGACCUGGGUCGAGACUGACGCUGAGGCGCGAAAGCGUGGGGAGCAAACAGG
rnacentral:rRNA from 1 species